UCAGUAACACGUAGUCAACAUGCCCAGGGGACGUGGAUAACCUCGGGAAACUGAGGAUAAACCGCGAUAGGCCAUGAUUUCUGGAAUGGUUCAUGGCCGAAAUCUAUAUGGCCCCUGGAUUGGACUGCGGCCGAUCAGGCUGUUGGUGAGGUAAUGGCCCACCAAACCUGUAACCGGUACGGGCUCUGAGAGGAGGAGCCCGGAGAUGGGCACUGAGACAAGGGCCCAGGCCCUAUGGGGCGCAGCAGGCGCGAAAUCUCUGCAAUAGGCGAAAGCUUGACAGGGUUACUCUGAGUGAUUCCCGCUAAGGGGAUCUUUUGGCACCUUUAAAAAUGGUGCAGAAUAAGGGGUGGGCAAGUCUGGUGCCAGC
rnacentral:rRNA from 1 species